GACGAACGCUGGCGGCGUGCUUAACACAUGCAAGUCGAGCGGUAAGGCCCUUUCGGGGGUACACGAGCGGCGAACGGGUGAGUAACACGUGGGUGACCUGCCCUCAGCUCUGGGAUAAGCCUGGGAAACCGGGUCUAAUACCGGAUAUGACUCCAUGACGCAUGUUGUGGGGUGGAAAGCCUUGUGCGGCUGAGGAUGGGCCCGCGGCCUAUCAGCUUGUUGGUGGGGUGAUGGCCUACCAAGGCGACGACGGGUAGCCGGCCUGAGAGGGCGACCGGCCACACUGGGACUGAGACACGGCCCAGACUCCUACGGGAGGCAGCAGUGGGGAAUCUUGCGCAAUGGGCGAAAGCCUGACGCAGCGACGCCGCGUGAGGGAUGACGGCCUGGUGUG
rnacentral:rRNA from 1 species